CCUGUUGACUGUACCUUGUUAUACUUGCUCUGACCGGACUCAUACUAGCAUUUAUUGCUACUCCCUGGCUACCAAUGCAUGUGCUCGCGCUGCAAUUUGGACAAGAAAAUCCCCGCUCUUUCGCUGGCCCGGAUGACAGUUGACAAGAGUAUUACUGGUAAUCAACAUCUCCUCAACUACCCAUUUCUCCACUAAGCAAGCCGGACACAGCGAGCGUGUGCUCAAGUCGGAGAGCUACGAUGUGGAGUCAUGGAUUGGUCUUGCCAGCGCCCGACGAGCGAGCACUCACGAAUUAUUCUCG
rnacentral:lncRNA from 1 species